rnacentral:snoRNA from 1 species
UUGCAUCUCUGACAAACUGGAGCAGGUAAUGUCUGCUGCUAAGUUUUCCAUUACAAAUACAAGUAAAAAAGGUCCUUGCACUUCCUGUCUGCCUGGUUGUGGUAGCCAAGAUUGAAUAAGGGGAAUACAGGA